rnacentral:rRNA from 1 species
UACGGAGGUUGCAAGCGUUGUUCGGAAUAACUGGGCGUAAAGGGAGCGCAGGCGGUUCGGUAAGUCUGAAGUGAAAUCCCAGAGCUCAACUCUGGACCUGCUUCGGAUACUGCCGAGCUUGAGUACGUGAGAGGAGAGUGGAAUUCCAGGUGUAGCGGUGAAAUGCGUAGAUAUCUGGAGGAACACCAGUGGCGAAAGCGGCUCUCUGGCACGUUACUGACGCUGAGGCUCGAAAGCGUGGGGAGCAAACGGG